GGCGGGUACAUAGAAACCCCCAGA
rnacentral:siRNA from 1 species